GAUAAUCAAAUAAUUUAUUUAAAAUUAAAAUUUUAUUAAAAAUUAAUUAAAAAAAUAUAAAUUUUAUUAUUUAACAAGAAAAAAUAAUUAUAAUUAUAGUUAAUAGUAUUGAGAAAGAAAAUUUUAAAAUAAAAAAAAGAAAAAUUUAAAUUUUGUACCUUGUGCAUCAGGGUUAAUUAAAAAAUAAAUUAAUAUAAAUUAAUCUCGAAUUUAAAAGAGCUAAUUAAUUAUAUAUUUUAUUGUAAAAUAAAUAUUUAAAAUAAUUAAUUAGAAAUGAAAUGUUAUUCGUUUUUAAAUAUAUCUAGUUUCUAAAUAAAUAAAUUUAAUUUAGUUAUUUAUAAUUAAAAAUUUUAAUUUUUAAUUUUUUAUUAUAAAUAAGUAAUUUUUUUAGGGAUAAGCUUAAAAAAAAAGUAUUAUAAUUUAAUAAAAAUUAAAUAAAUUAUAGGAUUAUAAUUUUCUAUAAAUAAAAAAAUGUUAUAAUUAAUUAUUUUUUUAAUAUAAUUUUUAUUUAAUUUAAGUUUUUUAUUUAGAUAAAUUUUUUAAUAGUUAAAAAAUAGAAAUAAUGAUUAAAUUAGUAUAAUUUUAUUUAUAAAUAAAAUUUAAUAAAAGGUUAAUUUAAGGAAUUCGGCAAAAAUAUUUUUCACCUGUUUAUUAAAAACAUGUCCUUUUGAUUAUAAUUUAAGGUCUAAUCUGCCCACUGAGUAAUUAAAUGGCCGCGGUAUCUUGACCGUGCAAAGGUAGCAUAAUAAUUAGUUUCUUAAUUAGAAGCUGGUAUGAAAGAUUGAAUGAGAAAAUAACUGUCUCAAAUUAAUUUAUUUAGAAAUUUAUUUUUAAGUUAAAAAGCUUAAAUAUAUUUAAAAGACGAGAAGACCCUAUAGAGUUUAAUUAAAAAUUAUAUUAGAAUUAUAUUGAUUUAAUAUUUUUUAAUAAAAUUUUUAAUUUUG
rnacentral:rRNA from 1 species